rnacentral:rRNA from 1 species
UACAGAGGUGGCAAGCGUUGUUCGGAAUUACUGGGCGUAAAGCGUGCGCAGGCGGUUGUGCAAGACAGAUGUGAAAUCCCCGGGCUCAACCUGGGAAUUGCAUUUGUGACUGCACGGCUAGAGUGUGUCAGAGGGGGGUAGAAUUCCACGUGUAGCAGUGAAAUGCGUAGAGAUGUGGAGGAAUACCGAUGGCGAAGGCAGCCCCCUGGGAUAACACUGACGCUCAUGCACGAAAGCGUGGGGAGCAAACAGG